GGAGUCUUAGAAGUUGAAGGAUUCUCUUUUAGAUCAAAAGUGAUAGAUCGGCGUGGAUCUUGAGAGAUUGUCUGUAGUUGUUGUCUUAUCCUAUUGUAAAUGUUAAGUUCUUGUUAUUGUGUAUCCCUGUAUUUUGUAUUUUGGACUUCUAUAUCCAAGUAUUGUGUACUUUGUAGAGUUUGUAAUCUUGUAACUCAGUUGGGUUAUUAUAGUUUUGCCA